rnacentral:rRNA from 1 species
UGCAGUCGACGAAGUUUUAGGACUUUAGUGGCGGACGGGUGAGUAACGCGUGAGAAUCUGGCCUUAGGUUCGGGACAACCAUUGGAAACGGUGGCUAAUACCGGAUAAGCUGAGAAGUGAAAGAUUAAUUGCCUAGGGAUGAGCUCGCGUCUGAUUAGCUAGUUGGUGAGGUAAAGGCUUACCAAGGCGUCGAUCAGUAACUGGUCUGAGAGGAUGAUCAGUCACACUGGGACUGAGACACGGCCCAGACUCCUACGGGAGGCAGCAGUGGGGAAUUUUCCGCAAUGGGCGAAAGCCUGACGGAGCAAUACCGCGUGAGGGAGGAAGGCUUUAGGGUUGUAAACCUCUUUUCUCAGGGAAGAUAGUGACGGUACCUGAGGAAUAAGCAUCGGCUAACUCCGUGCCAGCAGCCGCGGUAAUACGGAGGAUGCAAGCGUUAUCCGGAAUGAUUGGGCGUAAAGCGUCCGCAGGUGGCAGUUCAAGUUUGCUGUUAAAGGUCGGGGCUCAACCCCGAAGUGGCGGUGAAAACUGAACAGCUAGAGUGCGGUGGGGGCAGAGGGAAUUCCCAGUGUAGCGGUGAAAUGCGUAGAGAUUGGGAAGAACACCGGUGGCGAAAGCGCUCUGCUAGGCCGCAACUGACACUCAGGGACGAAAGCUAGGGGAGCGAAUGGGAUUAGA